AGCUCAGGGACAGAACCACAAAACCACUGCUGCCAAGUGCCCGUAAGGUCACUGCAUUCAGGUUUGGGAUCAUGACAUUAUUUCCUGGCCUUCUAAUCAUCCCCCCUCAGCAGAACCUCUGUCUGCUACAGCUUGCUGGGGUAUACGUUCAGAGGAGUUUGCACCUGGAAGGGACCAGUGUUUUAUCAACGGUGCUGCUGAUUACAAGCAUCAGAAUUACCUGGGAUACUGAUUCAUUUUACAUGAGAAAAAUGAAGCCCAGAGAGGGAGGAAUUGGAGUCUUAGCUCCCGGACUAGGGAUUGAGCCGGUACCCCCUGCACUGGAAGGCAACGUCUUAAUCACUGGACCACCGGGGAAGUGCCAGGUCCUCAGUCUGUGAUGUAUUCCUGAUAAGGUCCCCGUCCCCGAGAGAGUCUGCCCUGAAGGCACAGUCUCACUCUGCAUAAGCUGAACCUCUGCGCAAUGAGAUACAGCACCAACAUCAAUGUGGGAAACAAAAGUCUUAGGUUUUGGCAUACCUUGUGGUUCACCAAGUCUACUGGGAGGUUCUUUGAAACAUUGUUCAAAAAGUAACCCUAAGCUGCAAACCCACAAAUAGGGACUUCAUUAAAUAAACUGAAAGAUGAUCAUA